rnacentral:lncRNA from 1 species
CAUUCUCUCUCCUGGCUUCUGUGCUUCAUUCUAGCUUCCUUUCCCAAUUCUGUCUGUGUUGUUGCUCUGUGACUAACAGGUUCCUCUGCUGUUAGACCUAGCCCUCUUAACAAGCCCCAUGGCCAAUUCCAAAAGAAACCAUCAACAAAGUAGUAACCUGCUACAUUGUCAUUUAAAGGUAAGUUAUUAAUGCUAGAGGCCUUUUUUUGGUAGAGAUAGGAAUCUAGUCGUUGUUAGAGGGUAUGCAUAACAUGUCAUAAGGAUUCACAAUGAGCAGGCCAAACACACCAGUGACUUCCUGGUAACGCCCAGUUCUCGUUAGAGCUCCUUCCUUCCCCCUGAGGGGUGUAUCAGGAAGGCAGAGCAUGUCUUCCCUGGGAACCAAAGCCAAUGAGGGACUCAGGAGCUUCCCUUUGCCAUCAUUCACACAGAGCUGAGUCUUCUCCACUUCUUCUCCUUACACUACUACUAGGCUCCCAGGGGUGCACACUGCUAAAUUUGCCAUUUGUUCAGAGGAAAAAUUAAUUCCCAGUUUGCUUUUGGACACCAACCUUGAUCUUAGUAAUUCUGCCUGACAGUUUGUUAAAGGCUUUCCGAGUCAGGAAGGGAUAAUGGGUUUCUGUUUGCAUGCCAGCACCCAGGGAUUGAUUGGUCUUGAAUGUCUAGCACAAUGUCUGGGGUCAGACAAAGUUUGAAAAUUCUGCAGCUGGCUCUCAGUAGUUUUGUUAACAUGGGUGAGUUUCUUGUCCCCACCUGAGCCUCAGUUUCUCCAUUUGGAAGGAUACUGGUGGUAUUCACUUGCUCUAGAAAGUGUACCAAAUGAGAAGUAUAUUACAGG